rnacentral:rRNA from 1 species
UACGGAGGGAGCUAGCGUUAUUCGGAAUUACUGGGCGUAAAGCGUACGUAGGCGGCUUUGCAAGUUAGAGGUGAAAGCCUGGAGCUCAACUCCAGAACUGCCUUUAAAACUGCAUCGCUUGAAUCCAGGAGAGGUGAGUGGAAUUCCGAGUGUAGAGGUGAAAUUCGUAGAUAUUCGGAAGAACACCAGUGGCGAAGGCGACUCGCUGGACAGGUAUUGACGCUGAGGUGCGAAAGCGUGGGGAGCAAACAGG